GUAAGGGAUAUUGCGACAAUGGGCGAAAGCCUGACGCAGCAACGCCGCGUGUGGGAUGACGGCCUUCGGGUUGUAAACCACUUUUCUGCGUGAAGAGGAAGGACGGUAGCGCAGGAAUAAGUCUCGGCUAACUACGUGCCAGCAGCCGCGGUAAAACGUAGGAGGCGAGCGUUAUCCGGAUUUACUGGGUGUAAAGCGCGUGCAGGCGGUCUUUCAAGUGGUGCGUGAAAGCGCCCGGCUCAACCGGGCGAGGCCGUGCCAGACUGAGGGACUGGAGUGAGGUAGAGGCGUGUGGAAUUCCGGGUGUAGUGGUGAAAUGCGUAGAGAUCCGGAGGAACACCAGAGGCGAAGGCGACACGCUGGGCCUACACUGACGCUCAGACGCGAAAGCAUGGGGAGCGAACGGGAUUAGAAACCCCAGUAGUCC
rnacentral:rRNA from 1 species